rnacentral:rRNA from 1 species
UACGUAGGGUGCGAGCGUUGUCCGGAUUUAUUGGGCGUAAAGAGCUCGUAGGCGGUUUGUCGCGUCGGCCGUGAAAUCUCCACGCUUAACGUGGAGCGUGCGGUCGAUACGGGCAGACUUGAGUUCGGUAGGGGAGACUGGAAUUCCUGGUGUAGCGGUGAAAUGCGCAGAUAUCAGGAGGAACACCGGUGGCGAAGGCGGUUCUCUGGGCCUUACCUGACGCUGAGGAGCGAAAGCGUGGGGAGCAAACAGG